rnacentral:rRNA from 1 species
UACGUAGGGUGCAAGCGUUAAUCGGAAUUACUGGGCGUAAAGCGUGCGCAGGCGGUGAUGUAAGACAGUUGUGAAAUCCCCGGGCUCAACCUGGGAACUGCAUCUGUGACUGCAUCGCUGGAGUACGGUAGAGGGGGAUGGAAUUCCGCGUGUAGCAGUGAAAUGCGUAGAUAUGCGGAGGAACACCGAUGGCGAAGGCAAUCCCCUGGACCUGUACUGACGCUCAUGCACCGAAAGCGUGGGGAGCAAACAGGAUUA